GAUGAACGCUGGCGGCGUGCCUAAUACAUGCAAGUCGAGCGAACGGACGAGAAGCUUGCUUCUCUGAUGUUAGCGGCGGACGGGUGAGUAACACGUGGAUAACCUACCUAUAAGACUGGGAUAACUUCGGGAAACCGGAGCUAAUACCGGAUGAUAUUUUGAACCGCAUGGUUCAAAAGUGAAAGACGGUCUUGCUGUCACUUAUAGAUGGAUCCGCGCUGCAUUAGCUAGUUGGUAAGGUAACGGCUUAUCAAGGCAACGAUGCAUAGCCGACCUGAGAGGGUGAUCGGCCACACUGGAACUGAGACACGGUCCAGACUCCUACGGGAGGCAGCAGUAGCGAAUCUUCCGCAAUGGGCGAGAGCCUGACGGAGCAACGCCGCGUGAGUGAUGAAGGUCUUCGGAGCGUAAAACUCUGUUAUUAGGGAAGAACAUAUGUGUAAGUAACUGUGCACAGCUUGACGGUACCUAAUCAGAAAGCCACGGCUAACUACGUG
rnacentral:rRNA from 1 species